rnacentral:rRNA from 1 species
UACGUAGGGUGCAAGCGUUGUCCGGAAUUAUUGGGCGUAAAGAGCUCGUAGGCGGUCUGUCGCGUCUGCUGUGAAAACUCAGGGCUUAACCCUGAGCUUGCAGUGGGUACGGGCAGACUAGAGUGCGGUAGGGGAGACUGGAAUUCCUGGUGUAGCGGUGAAAUGCGCAGAUAUCAGGAGGAACACCGGUGGCGAAGGCGGGUCUCUGGGCCGGUAA